CUUCCACGCUGGACAUUUCACAUCAAAGCUGAUCGGAGGGGAGAACUACUCGAAGAAGUGGGUGUACCGUUCAUUCGGUGCCAAGUGAAUCCGCUGCAACUGAACUGGAAGGGGAAACGUGACGGAGGAACCACAGAGAGAAACUACUACUGUGCAUCGCUCUGUUGCUUCUCGGGGCCCAGCUGUCGGAGUCCGCCUGCUACUUUCAAGAACACAACACUGGCGCUUUGCGCACGUGCUUUGACACUAACGAUGGGACUGUUCAUCAAUAUGGAGAGAGUUGGGUAAACUCGAAUUGCCACAACUGCGUGUGUUCGGUUAAUGGUCAUGAAUGCUGUGCUCAGUAUUUCGCGCCAACGGGUUACUCAGAUGAAUGCACGGCCAGUUUCGAUCUGAAGACUUGUACAUUUCGAGUCCAUUCGAAGAAUGACGCGUCUAUCGAAUGUGUAGCGGCAGGUGCUGUUGGGAAAUGAGUUGGAAUAAACAGGCAGUUCCCUUCCAAUGUGGAAACAUUCAUCAAUGCGAUGCAGGGGCCUUAACCCUUGCAUGUAAUGUCUGCCUCACAAUAAACA